UACGUAGGGUGCGAGCGUUGUCCGGAUUUAUUGGGCGUAAAGGGUGCGUAGGCGGUCGGGUAAGUCUGAUGUGAAAUCCCACAGCUUAACUGUGAAACUGCAUUGGAUACUAUCCGGCUCGAGGAAUGGAGGGGAGACUGGAGUACUUGGUGUAGCAGUGAAAUGCGUAGAUAUCAAGUGGAACACCAGUGGCGAAGGCGAGUCUCUGGACAUUUCCUGACGCUGAGGCACGAAAGCCAGGGGAGCAAACGGG
rnacentral:rRNA from 1 species